GGGGGUGUAGUUUAAAUGGUAAAACGUAUGUUUUGCAUGCAUAAAAUCAUCGGUUCGAGUCCGGUUAUCUCCA
rnacentral:tRNA from 1 species